rnacentral:rRNA from 1 species
UACGGGGGGAGCAAGCGUUGUUCGGAUUUACUGGGCGUAAAGGGCGCGUAGGCGGUCAGCACAAGUCAGUUGUGAAAUCUCCGGGCUUAACUCGGAAAGGUCAACUGAUACUGUGCGACUAGAGUGCGGAAGGGGCAACUGGAAUUCUCGGUGUAGCGGUGAAAUGCGCAGAUAUCGAGGAAGAACACCUAUGGCGAAGGCAGCUGCGUCUGGGACGGUACUGACGCUGAAGACGCGGAAAGCGUGGGGAGCGAACAGG